AUAAUACAAACGGCGUAAAGCACGACUAAAAACAAGUUAAACCACUAGGAAAGAAACUAAGCUAGGCUGUAAAAAGCCAUAAGCCACAAUAACCACAUCCUAACCACAAACCCACCCCACUCGUGAAAGCCAGGACACAAACUAAGAUUAGAUACCUUACUAUGCCUGACCAUAACUCAACAAUAAUAACACUAAUUGUUCGCCAAAUAACUACGAGUGUAAACUUAAAACUUAAAAGACUUGACGGUACCUCACAACAGCCUAGAGGAGCCUGUCCAGUAACCGAUACCCCACGAUUAACCCAACCCCUUCUAGCCUGACAGUCUAUAUACCGCCGUCGCCAGCCUACCUUAUGAAAGAAACAAAGUAGACUAAAUAGUCAUGCACAAACACGACAGGUCGAGGUGUAACUUAUGAUGGGGCUAAGAUGGGCUACACUUUCUAAUACAGAAAAUACGAAUCAACCAUGAAACAGAAACUGAAGGAGGAUUUAGCAGUAAACUAAGAACAAAAUACUUAAUAGAAAACAAAGCAAUGAGGUGCGUACACACCGCCCGUCAUCCCUGCAACCCAAACUAUACCCAUUAAUAAA
rnacentral:rRNA from 1 species